AAAGGGACUCUCAUACAUGCAUGCAGUAUGAUAACUAUAUAAGACUGCAAUUACGGAGGUGGAAAGCAUAGUUUUGUCAUCACAGAAAUAAGGAGUUGGUCAUCUGAAUUGGUGUUUACACUGGGAACACAGUGAAAUCCUGCACCUGAGGUGCUGUGUGAGAAGCUACAAAACUGAAAAAGAAACAUGUUGGAACUAUACCAGGCAUUCCUGAACAAAUUGAG